rnacentral:misc_RNA from 1 species
GGAUUUUGAAGAGCUUAUCAGAGAGCACUUCAGGAUGCGUGGUUAUUACAUCCUCAAGGCCUGUGACGCUUACAUGAAAGGAUUCCUUAUUGGCUCACUCAUAAAAGAUGCUUCCGUAAGCAAUAACAGCAGCGCUAAUUCAAAUUCAGUUGGUUUCAAGCUGAUGCUGGCUAAAAUUGUACCAAAACUUUUCUUGGCUCUGAAAGAAAUAGGAGUCGAGUGUGAAGAGUACCAACAUCUCCACCAAUUGUAGCAGAGAUUUUGAAGCAUUUGGUGUAUAUCAUUGUUCAAUCCAGCCAAGGUCAGCCUUUUAAACAUUUCCGAAUGUCAAAAGG